rnacentral:rRNA from 2 species
AUAAGCGGAAGGAAAAAGAAACCAACAGGGAUUGCCUCAGUAACGGCGAGUGAAGCGGCAAGAGCUCAAAUUUGAAAUCUGACCCCCAGCGGGGGUUCGAGUUGUAAUUUGCAGAGGAUGCUUCGGGUGCGGCCGCGGCCUAAGUCCCUUGGAACAGGGUGUCGCAGAGGGUGAGAAUCCCGUCUUUGGUCGCCGGUGCGCGCCCGUGCGAAGCUCCUUCGACGAGUCGAGUUGUUUGGGAAUGCAGCUCAAAGUGGGUGGUAAAUUUCAUCUAAAGCUAAAUAUUGGCCGGAGACCGAUAGCGCACAAGUAGAGUGAUCGAAAGGUUAAAAGCACCUUGAAAAGGGAGUUAAACAGCACGUGAAAUUGUUGAAAGGGAAACGCUUGCGACCAGACUCGAGGCGCGGGGGUUCAGCGGGCACGUGUGCCCGUGUACUCCCCCGCGCUCCGGGCCAGCAUCAGUUUCGACGGCCGGUCAAAGGCCCCCGGAAUGUGUCGUCCUCCGGGACGUCUUAUAGCCGGGGGUGCAAUGCGGCCAGUCGGGACUGAGGAACGCGCUUCGGCACGGAUGCUGGCGUAAUGGUCGUAAGCGACCCGUCUUGAAACAC